GACGAACGCUGGCGGCGUGCUUAACACAUGCAAGUCGAACGGAAAGGCCCUGCUUUUGUGGGGUGCUCGAGUGGCGAACGGGUGAGUAACACGUGAGUAACCUGCCCUUGACUUUGGGAUAACUUCAGGAAACUGGGGCUAAUACCGGAUAGGAGCUCCUGCUGCAUGGUGGGGGUUGGAAAGUUUCGGCGGUUGGGGAUGGACUCGCGGCUUAUCAGCUUGUUGGUGGGGUAGUGGCUUACCAAGGCUUUGACGGGUAGCCGGCCUGAGAGGGUGACCGGCCAUAUUGGGACUGAGAUACGGCCCAGACUCCUACGGGAGGCAGCAGUGGGGAAUAUUGCACAAUGGGCGGAAGCCUGAUGCAGCAACGCCGCGUGCGGGAUGACGGCCUUCGGGUUGUAAACCGCUUUCGCCUGUGACGAAGCGUGAGUGACGGUAAUGGGUAAAGAAGCACCGGCUAACUACGUGCCAGCAGCCGCGGUGAUACGUAGGGUGCGAGCGUUGUCCGGAUUUAUUGGGCGUAAAGGGCUCGUAGGUGGUUGAUCGCGUCGGAAGUGUAAUCUUGGGGCUUAACCCUGAGCGUGCUUUCGAUACGGGUUGACUUGAGGAAGGUAGGGGAGAAUGGAAUUCCUGGUGGAGCGGUGGAAUGCGCAGAUAUCAGGAGGAACACCAGUGGCGAAGGCGGUUCUCUGGGCCUUUCCUGACGCUGAGGAGCGAAAGCGUGGGGAGCGAACAGGCUUAGAUACCCUGGUAGUCCACGCUGUAAACGGUGGGUACUAGGUGUGGGGUCCAUUCCACGGGUUCCGUGCCGUAGCUAACGCUUUAAGUACCCCGCCUGGGGAGUACGGCCGCAAGGCUAAAACUCAAAGGAAUUGACGGGGCCCCGCACAAGCGGCGGAGCAUGCGGAUUAAUUCGAUGCAACGCGUAGAACCUUACCUGGGUUUGACAUGGAUCGGGAGCGCUCAGAGAUGGGCGUGCCUCUUUUGGGGUCGGUUCACAGGUGGUGCAUGGCUGUCGUCAGCUCGUGUCGUGAGAUGUUGGGUUAAGUCCCGCAACGAGCGCAACCCUUGUUCACUGUUGCCAGCACGUUAUGGUGGGGACUCAGUGGAGACCGCCGGGGUCAACUCGGAGGAAGGUGGGGAUGACGUCAAGUCAUCAUGCCCCUUAUGUCCAGGGCUUCACGCAUGCUACAAUGGCUGGUACAGAGAGUGGCGAGCCUGUGAGGGUGAGCGAAUCUCGGAAAGCCGGUCUCGGUUCGGAUUGGGGUCUGCAACUCGACCUCAUGAAGUCGGAGUCGCUAGUAAUCGCAGAUCAGCAACGCUGCGGUGAAUACGUUCCCGGG
rnacentral:rRNA from 1 species